rnacentral:rRNA from 1 species
UACAGAGGUCUCAAGCGUUGUUCGGAUUCAUUGGGCGUAAAGGGUGCGAGUAGGCGGCGGGGCAAGUCGGAUGUGAAAUCUCAGGGCUCAACCCUGAAACUGCAUUCGAUACUGCCUUGCUCGAGGACUGGAGAGGAGAUUGGAAUUCACGGUGUAGCAGUGAAAUGCGUAGAUAUCGUGAGGAAGACCAGUGGCGAAGGCGGAUCUCUGGACAGUUCCUGACGCUGAGGCACGAAGGCCAGGGGAGCAAACGGG